rnacentral:tRNA from 1 species
GAGGCUGUAGCUCAGUGGCAGAGCACUUGCCUAGUAUGCAUGAGGCACUAGGGUUGAUCCUUAGCACCACA